rnacentral:rRNA from 1 species
CACGUAGUUAGCCGGGGGCUUUCUUCUCAGGUACCGUCACUCCGAUAGCAGUUACUCUACCGGACGUUCUUCCCUGGCAACAGAGCUUUACGAUCCGAAAACCUUCAUCACUCACGCGGCGUUGCUCCGUCAGACUUGCGUCCAUUGCGGAAGAUUCCCUACUGCUGCCUCCCGUAGGAGUCUGGGCCGUGUCUCAGUCCCAGUGUGGCCGAUCACCCUCUCAGGUCGGCUACGCAUCGUCGCCUUGGUGAGCCGUUACCUCACCAACUAGCUAAUGCGCCGCAGGCCCAUCCUCAAGUGACAGAUUGCCUUCCGUCUUUCCAAACUUCGUUACGAGGCGAACAAAUCAUGUUAUUCGGUAUUAGCUUACCGUUUCCGGUAGUUCGUACCCAGCUUGAGGGCGAGGUUGCCUACGGU